rnacentral:rRNA from 1 species
GAUAAACGCUGGCGGCGUGCUUAACACAUGCAAGUCGAACGAAGUUUUUCCUUCGGGAGAAACUUAGUGGCGGACGGGUGAGUAACGCGUGGGUAACCUGCCCUGUACAGGGGGACAACAGCUGGAAACGGCUGCUAAUACCGCAUAAGCCCUUAGCACUGCAUGGUGCAUAGGGAAAAGGAGCAAUCCGGUACAGGAUGGACCCUCGUCUGAUUAGCCAGUUGGCAGGGUAACGGCCUACCAAAGCGACGAUCAGUAGCCGAUCUGAGAGGAUGUACGGCCACAUUGGGACUGAGACACGGCCCAGACUCCUACGGGAAGCAGCAGUGGGGAAUAUUGCACAAUGGAGGAAACUCUGAUGCAGCGACGCCGCGUGAGUGAAGAAGUAUUUCGGUAUGUAAAGCUCUAUCAGCAGGGAAGAAAAUGACGGUACCUGACUAAGAAGCACCGGCUAAAUACGUG